AGUAGGACUAACUUUUCGGUACGUGAUCAAUGAUUGGUUGAGAAGACACGUUUGCACCAAUUAGUUAAGAAGUGAAUUAGUACUGAAACAUGAGCCGAGCACAGCUUCACUCAUGUUCAAUUGAACUGGAUGAAAGCUACAUUAUUUGUUGACUGAUUUCACCAACAUUCAGUGACAAAUGGGCAUCAAAGAGCGUGACAUAUUGGCAGAUGAGAUCAACUGUUAGUAUUCCAUUGAUUGCAGAGAAGAGAAAUAGACAUGCCACGUGUGCUCAUUCAUUCUCCUUCGUCUACAGUGAGGAGGAGUGUUAAUUGCGGGUGAAGAGUGAGGGAUCUGUGAUGUUUGCAGAUGGAUUUGUCUCUAAUUGCUCAGCUGCAUGAUCUCUGUGUGACGGGAUAUCUUCUCUGUUUCCAGACCACGCACUAAAGUAUCCAGUCCCUCUCAGAAACUGAUUCACAUAUCUACUCUACAAUCACACAUCGACAAGACCGAGAGGCCGGACACACGCAGAGGGACAGACGCAAGCUUUUUGUCUUCCUGGAGACGUCCUUCGACACCAGCAGACUCCCUGCCAGACCCCCUGCGCCACGCAGACUAGAGCUGGUGAGUU
rnacentral:lncRNA from 13 species